rnacentral:rRNA from 1 species
UACAGAGGUGGCAAGCGUUGUUCGGAAUUACUGGGCGUAAAGGGCGCGUAGGCGGCUCUCUAAGUCCCGUGUGAAAUCCCUCGGCUUAACCGGGGAACUGCGUCUGAUACUGGAUGGCUUGAGUUCGGGAGAGGGAUGCGGAAUUCCAGGUGUAGCGGUGAAAUGCGUAGAUAUCUGGAGGAACACCGGUGGCGAAGGCGGCAUCCUGGACCGACACUGACACUGAGGAGCGAAAGCCAGGGGAGCAAACGGG